UCGAGAAUCUUCGACAAUGGGCGCAAGCCUGAUCGAGCGACGCUGCGUGCAGGAAGAAGGCCUUCGGGUUGUAAACUGCUGUCGUGUGGGAAGAACUUUGACGGUACCACACAAGAAAGGGGCGCCUAAUCUCGUGCCAGCAGGCGCGGUAAUACGAGAGCCCCGAGCGUUAGCCGGAAUGACUGGGCGUAAAGCAUCCGCAGGCGGAUAUGUGCGUCUGCUGUUAAACCCUUGGGCUCAACCCAAGGUGUGCAGUGGAUACGGCAUGUCUAGAGGCAGGGAGAGGUUAGGCGGAACUCCUGGUGAAGCAGUGAAAUGCGUUGAUAUCAGGGGGAACACCAAUUGCGGAGGCAGCUAACUGGUCCUGUCCUGGCGCUCAUGGAUGACAGCGUGGGGAGCGAAGCGGAUUAGAUACCCGCGUAGUCCACGCCGUAAACGAUGCCCGACUAGGCAGUUGGGAGUAUUGACCCU
rnacentral:rRNA from 1 species